rnacentral:rRNA from 1 species
GUGGGGAAUUUUGGACAAUGGGCGCAAGCCUGAUCCAGCCAUGCCGCGUGCAGGAUGAAGGCCUUCGGGUUGUAAACUGCUUUUGUACGGAACGAAACGGUCCGGGUUAAUACCCUGGGCUAAUGACGGUACCGUAAGAAUAAGCACCGGCUAACUACGUGCCAGCAGCCGCGGUAAUACGUAGGGUGCAAGCGUUAAUCGGAAUUACUGGGCGUAAAGCGUGCACAGGCGGUUUUGUAAGACAGGCGUGAACUCCCCGGGCUCAACCUGGGAAUUGCGCUUGUGACUGCAAGGCUGGAGUGCGGCAGAGGGGGAUGGAAUUCCGCGUGUAGCAGUGAAAUGCGUAGAUAUGCGGAGGAACACCGAUGGCGAAGGCAAUCCCCUGGGCCUGCACUGACGCUCAUGCACGAAAGCGUGGGGAGCAAACAGGAUUAGAAACCCGUGUAGUCC